rnacentral:rRNA from 1 species
UACGAAGGGGGCUAGCGUUGCUCGGAAUCACUGGGCGUAAAGCGCACGUAGGCGGAUUGCUAAGUCAGGGGUGAAAUCCUGGAGCUCAACUCCAGAACUGCCUUUGAUACUGGCGGUCUCGAGUCCGGGAGAGGUGAGUGGAACUGCGAGUGUAGAGGUGAAAUUCGUAGAUAUUCGCAAGAACACCAGUGGCGAAGGCGGCUAUCUGGACGGUUUCUGACGCUAAGACGCGAAAGCGUGGGGAGCAAACAGG